rnacentral:tRNA from 1 species
GAGGGUAUAGCUCAAAGUAGUGGAGCACGUGCUUAGCAUGCACAAGGUCCUGGGUUCAAUUCUCAGUACCUCCU